AUGACCUACAAUGGGGGAGCCCCCCCAAACUCUGAAAUCCUCGGCCCACGCAAAUCCACCCACCCAUCACAAACCCGAGGGGGAGGGCGGAGUGGCGGACAGGGGAGCCGGGACGCCUUGGGCUGCGCAAGGGGAGAGUGGGAAGUGGAAAAAGAGGAGUCCCCCAACCCCCACCCACGGUCUCGGGACAACCCCAAGUGCCCUCCCAAUACUGCCCCACUGCGGGGGCCGCGGGGAGGACUGUGGAAAUCCCCCCCCCCGUACCCUCGCCCCAGGAAGUUCUCGGGUGUUACCCCAGCACCCCUAAGGCUGCACCUCCCCCGCCUCCCCGGGGCCAGAAAGGAGAAGGGUCUGCGGGCGGGUGGGGCGCCUAGCCGGGAUCUCCGCGCCGCUGGGCGCCGACAGACGCCCGGGGCAUCCCCGAGGAGCGCAGACGGGCGGCUGGGGAAGGGUGGGGGGAGUGACGGGCGUCCAGGUCUCCGGGGUCCCGACGGCUCCGGUCAAGUGCAGCGCCCUUCCAGCCUAGGGUCAGCGAGGCUUGAUCCGCCGUGGGACACCCGCCCUGCGCCCCCCGUGGCCCCGACCCCACCCGGGACCCGCGCAUCCGGACCCCCGACUUCGGCCUCCGCGCCCGAGGUAGCUCGACGAGCUUUGUUAACUCCCCACUAUCCACGGCACCGCCGUCGGGCUGCCCCAAGGCCGCGCGCCCCUUGCCGCCCGCCGCGCCCGCCGCGUCCUCACCACGAGCCGGGGCCGCACCUGUGCCAGCCGCCGCCGCUCGCCCGCUCCCUUCGGCUGUGCCGGCGCCGCUCCGAACCCCACACACAUCGCUACACACAGCCCUCUGACGUCACCGAGCCCUCGGCCCGCCCACGUCACUGCGGAGACACACGGCUUCCCGCAGACGCCGCCGCCGUCUCCGGCCGCCCGGGGGAGAGCGAGGGCGGCGGGGAGGGGGAGGGGAAGGGAACGGAGCCAGCGGCGGCACCGCGCGCGCGGGCCCGCCGGCGUCGCUGCCACCGCCCCCUCGCGACUCCCAGCCCCUCGGGGACGCGCGCGCCGUCUGGCCUAUUGUGGCUCCUCGGGGCUCCCCCCUCGCCCCGUCGCCUCGCGCGCGCGCGCCCCUCCCCCCCCCCCAGGCGCGCGCCCGGCGCUCCUGGCCUCGCGCGCCGUCUGGGCGGCUGGCGCACGGCGCUGUCUGCGGUGCACCCGGCGCAGACAGGAUGUUCCCUCCCCGCCCCACCCCCACUGCCGCCCUCCCUCCUUCCUUCCUCGAGU
rnacentral:lncRNA from 1 species